rnacentral:misc_RNA from 1 species
CUGGAGUAAGUUCCUCUGUGUCAAGGUACACAUCUGAUUUAUUAGACCAGAAUCAAGCUCAUCGCUUGCCUGAUUUUGGUGGAUCCAGAUUUUCAAGUCAUUUCAAUCCUUAUGCUACUACAUUUGACCAGCCACUAACAAUGAAAUUCAGUUCGGACCCUUUAAUACAUGGAAGAGAUAUGCUCCCUAGUAGUAAAUACAGUGCAUUUAGUUUGAGUAAUAUGCCAAUUGAAGGCCAUCCUGCAGAAAGUCUUGGUUCACGAAAUAUUACCCCACCAUCUGCGCAUACUGCUGAAGGAAUGUUCUUCCAGCCAGGUGGUAACCAGUAUGAUCCACUUUAUGACAGCAUAGAACCAUCUACUAACUUACUUAAGAAGUCUGAUCCUGGUCCUAAGCUUGAAGUAACUGAUAACUUACUUAAGAAGUCUGAUCCUGGUCCUAAGCUUGAAGUAACUGAUGACUCAGGCGUUAUGUUAAGGCUCAGUGGAUCCAAUGAACCACUGGAUGUGGAAGUAACCAAGGGGCAGAAAGCAGAUGGAGCUAUUGCAUUCACCAUACCUGCAGAAAAUGAUGAAUUUGACGAGACAGCUGAGGCAGAGGUGGGUGUUGUUGAGAACAGAAGUCCAAGUGAUUCCAAUGAUGAGGAAGAUGUUCCUACAGGAGAGGUAGAGAUUGAACAGGUGAAGCCAUCAGGGGAGAAAAAUAAAAGCAAGGAAUCCAGAUCUAUGAGGCUUUUCAAGAUUUCAGUUGCUAAUUUUGUGAAGGAGAUGUUAAAACCAUCAUGGCGCCAAGGUAACAUAAGCAAGGAGGUUUUUAAGACAAUAGUCAAGAAAACUGUAGACAAGGUCUCUGGAGCUAUGAAAAGCCACCAAAUACCGAAGUCCAAGUCAAAAAUUGACCAUUACAUUGACUCAUCACAGAGGAAAUUAACUAAAUUAGUCAUGGGCUAUGUUGAUAAAUAUGUCAAGGCAUAACUGUCUCGUUGGCUGCACCAGUUGGCAACAUCAGUUAUUUUCUGUGUAUCGUCACUAUAGAUGCUACUGUGAAUGCAUUCAAUGGCGUAUGCUUUGAAAUGAAUGUGUUCCCGACAAUCAGUGGUAGUUGCUUUGCUGCUUAUAUGGACAAAAGCUUAAUAUGCAUGACUGCCCAAAAACAUUGAUGCCUGUAAUUUUUCCUUGAAUGAGAAACAUGGUAUUUCGGACAACUCUUUGGAGAGAAUGGGGGGUGGAGUGUUAUUACUGUACAACCAACAUCUACAAUCGAACACCAAAGUGUUGAGACCACAACAACAUAUCUAAAAGGGCAAAAUGUAUGUAAUGUUUUGGUUUAGUAUUGUUUCUUCUUAAUAGAUGUAUUGUUGUUCAAUGGGUGUUGUGUAUAUGCAUAUUAAUGGCAAGCAUGUUGUAUUAUUUCUGUGUUGAUAUUCU